rnacentral:lncRNA from 1 species
UGAUAGUUGCCCAUCCCUGUAUUAGGGGAAAGUCCCCUAUCUGUCAUAUAUUACAUGAAUAUGACAUAAGUAUAAAUGGUUUACUGAAUGUUGUGAGGGCAGAAUAUUUACUUGAGACAUGGUUGUGUCAUUUUAUCUUGAAACAAAUGCUUGAUUUAAUCAAAAGUUCAAGUUACAACAAGUGUGUAUCUCUCAAAUGAACAUUCAGACCUUAAAGGCUAGAGUUACAUCAGAUACAUGUAUUAGGAAGUGUUUAGGAGAAACACAAGAUGCAUUGGAAUGUUGGAAUGAAACUGUUGCCCUCUGUUUUUUUUGGUCGUUUUGAAAUGAUGUUUACUUGUAGUUUACUGUUCCUAUGUCACACAACUCAGGGAGCUAUGUGACUGAUUCUCAUGCCGGAUGUUGAACAGAAUGUUUUCUCUGUUAGAGUGUAUUUUAUCCUGUAUCCUUGUGUUGUUGUGCAGUCUGGUAUUUACACUUUGCUUGAACCGAUACUCUGCAAACUAACCAUUUAUGGCGUUGACCUGAAUCAAUUUCUGUUCAGAUACAGUAUGAAGGAUGUACAGUGUUUUGGGUUCCCACCUUUUUCCCUUUUAUGGAUCAGAGGAUGGAACUAGCAUCUAUUUAAAUGCUUGAUGCACUUCAGUGAUGUAGUAUGUAUAUUCUUUAUUCUAUACAGUGGGCUGACAAUGUCUGCUGGAUGAUCAGUCAGGAGCUACAUUAAUAGGCAUUCCACCUCACGUAGGACCUCUACUGAUGACACUGAUGCUCUAAAGAUAAACCCAUACAGUCACUAAUGAUGUCAGAACUUGGGACUUGCAAGAUGUGUCUGUGGCGUUUUCAGUGGAUUCCUAUCUGAGUUGUUUAAAAAACGUUUUUAGGGAGGUGUUGACGUCUACAACCGCGGUUUCUAAUCCAGUCAAAUCAGUAUCUAGUCAUGCAUAUAUUCCAUGUUAACUCUUACCACUGUUUACCUUUGUUAGCAUGUUUCUUUUCAAGCUGUUUCAAAGUGUUUCUGUUUUGAUUACACAAACUGUACUCAACUGCUCUAUGACUGACUCGCUCAAAACAAUACAGAAAGAGACUCAUGCAGAAUGUAAAAAAGAAUUGUAAAUACAGUACAAUGUAAAAAGACAAGUCGGAAACAAGUCUAUCCUUUGUAAUACUGUAUAUGUUGGACAUUUUUUGUAACUCCAAAAAACACUAAAUGAAUUAAACGGGAAUUCGUAAUGUUUUCAAAACGUAAAUGCAGUGUAAAAAAUUAAGGAUUGCUUUUACAAUUUAUAAAAAAUGCUGUGUGAGCCAUCAUUCCAAAGC